UACAGAGGGGGCAAGCGUUGUUCGGAAUCACUGGGCGUAAAGGGCGCGUAGGCGGGAUGGCAAGUCGGUCGUGAAAUCCUUCGGCUCAACCGAAGAACGUCGGCCGAUACUGCCGUUCUUGAGGGAUGCAGAGGAGAUUGGAAUUCCCGGUGUAGCGGUGAAAUGUGUAGAGAUCGGGAGGAACACCGGUGGCGAAGGCGGGUCUCUGGGCAUCUCCUGACGCUGAGGCGCGAAAGCCAGGGGAGCGAACGGG
rnacentral:rRNA from 1 species